UCAUCAGGCGUUUCUUAAUGUUUUUAUUGGGUUUGUCUUUUGUCUUUUACAGUUAUUAAACGUUUUCUAAUUGUUUUAUUUAUCGAUUUAUGAAUUAAUUGUGAAUCUUAUUUUUACACAGAUUGUUGUUAAAUGGUGGAUUAAUUGGAGCAAUUGAGUUUUGGGUUAAAGUGUUUAUAUGUUGCUGUUUUAACAUUGAAAGUCUUGGAGACAUUAUUCCGACUAUUUUAACACGUUUUUUUCAAGGAAAGCAUCUCAAUUUUCACCUUUACCUUUAUGACUUUUAUUCAUUACCGUCGUUAAUUUACAAAAAGUUGGACAAUAAACUGGAACAAUUAACUUGAUAUCAUUAACACGGGUGAAGAGCAAAAGUCUUCCAGAGAGUGGAUAAACAUAAAGAGGAUAAUGGAGAGAUGAACAUGGUUUUACUUUUAACCCUUAAACUCUUACACCUUGACCUUUUUAUUAUCGCCAUACAGUUGAAGUAACAGUUUAAUAAUGGUCAUAUUAACAACCUUGUUACCUUCUUGGAUUGGUUUCCUGUUGAAUAAUGCUGCUACGCUUCAUCCAGUUUAUAGUUAAAUAUGGAUGGUCACGAGAAUUCAUAGCGAGCUAUUUCAUUUUCUAAAGGCUCUCGCUUUCUUAACUCAUUCAAUUCCAGGAUCAAGAGGAAAUCAAUGGGUCGCUUGGUGAUUGUGAGCUUCAACAAUUAAAAUGACACAUCUUUUGUUGCUUUCAUCUUGAGCCGAGCUAUCGAUUUCAAUUCUAAGGGCUCAAGUCAAGAGGAUAAAGAUGAAAUGAUUAGAGAGUUAAAAGGUAAAGAUAUUAGGUGAAAUUGAAACCUGGAAUUUAGAAGAGAGAACAACAGAGAAAACUCUUUUUCUGUUAUUUGCUUUUGUCAAAGAUUGAAGUCGCAAACGUUUAACUCUUUUAAUCAUUUUCCUGACUUGAAGUAUUUCCAAUCUAUUUGUAAGAUUAACUUAAAUUGAAAAUUAACAUUAGAAUGGUGGCGAUAAUUCCAAAUGAAUCGACAGCAAGUUAGCCUUUGCCUUUGUUUGGACCUUUGUUGUUGUCCAUAAUUACACAUUUUAUUGUUUACAAGCAAAUCCUUUGGUAAAUGAAAUGGCUAGUUUGAAUAGUCAAAACAAAGUGAAAUGCAAAAUAGUAAUUUUAAUGAAUGGAUUGAAAAUGCGCCAAAACUAAAGAAACCAAGAGAUUAAGGUAAAAAUAAUAACAACAAAACACCCAACAGAGUUUAAGAUAAUCUUGUAAAGGUUGACACAAAUCUGUUCAAUACAAUUACUUGUCACUUCACUGUUUUCAAUUGAAAAACUAGUAACCUUAAAUUAUAACUUGAGAUACUAACAAGUUUAAAUUGUUUAAACAAUCAACUUUACUUUAACAGUGACUUUUACAGUUUGGCAAGUUUGAAUUUGGCUGACAAUUUUGUUGCAUCGCAAUAUAAAUAAAAAUAAUAAACACUUCAUUUUAGAUAUAAAAAA